rnacentral:sRNA from 1 species
CACACACACACACACACCCCUCUGUGGUAGUCUCCUAACACGUUAUCCCCCUACCCACCUCUAGUCUUACUGAUUUUCUUCUCCCUCUCAAAUACAGCACUGGAAUUACUGGUGUGAGAGUAGGGAUUGGGAGCUCAGUGUUUACUUCAAUAGCAGGUUCAUCCGCCUGGCACGUGGGAGGCCCUCAGUUCAGCCUCCCAAGUUUUUUUCUUUAAAAAAAAAAAAUGUUCUCAAAGAAGGACUUAAUAUUCAUCGUGAGGAAAAUUAACUCAGAAUCAAAGGGACGGCUGAGUCAAAGCAAGAUCAGCAGUGCCAACAAUGAGCUCACAUACAAAGCCAUAAGGCCUGAAGACUCACAUGGCACGUGUUUAUUGGAAAAAUAAAUAAUGAGGAAAGAGAUAAGGGAGAUCAGAUAAGUUUACAAAUGAUUAACUCACAGAUCCCAAGUGACUACGCUAACGCAGAAAAGCUAGGUAGGGAUACCAUUAUGUUAAUUACAGGGAGAAGGAAAAAUUAGAGAAAGCCUGUACUAUGUGCCUGUUGGCCAGACAAGGUAUAAAAUGGCAGCUGAACACACCGGUCUGGACGGAAGAUAGGGAUCUGCGGCGCACCGGUGCACUGACAACUAAGGUUAAGGCAGCUUCCCAGGUGACACAGUUGACCAGAGGAGUUGGCCAGCUGGCUUAGUGGGUGAAAAUGCUUGCCACAAAAGCCUGCCAUCCCAAACUGAAUGGCUGGAAGCCGCGUAAGGCAGAAGGAGAAAACCAACUCCACCAAGUCGUCCUCUGCUCUUCAUACUCACUACAGUGGCAUGUGUAUACCAUCCCCACCCUAGGAGCUGCAGAAACACACUCAUACACACACACAAUAGUAUGAAAAUGUAACGCACUGAUUAGACAGGAAUGUAAGAAACCAAUCUGUACAGGGAAGUUGUGUAAUGUUCUGUGGUAAGCAUCUUGUCUCCAGAAAGCAAAUAAAAAAAAAAA